UGGCGGACGGGUGAGUAACGCGUAAGAAUCUACCUACAGACUCGGGGCAACAGUUAGAAAUGACUGCUAAUACCGGAUAUGCCGCGAGGUGAAAGAUUUAUCAUCUGUAGAUGAGCUUGCGUCCGAUUAGCUAGAUGGUGAGGUAAUGGCUUACCAUGGCGACGAUCGGUAGCUGGUCUGAGAGGAUGACCAGUCACACUGGGACUGAGACACGGCCCAGACUCCUACGGGAGGCAGCAGUGGGGAAUUUUCCGCAAUGGGCGAAAGCCUGACGGAGCAAUACCGCGUGAGGGACGAAGGCCUGUGGGUUGUAAACCUCUUUUGUUAGGGAAGAUAAUGACGGUACCUAACGAAUAAGCAUCGGCUAACUCCGUGCCAGCAGCCGCGGUAAUACGGAGGGUGCAAGCGUUGUCCGGAUUUAUUGGGUUUAAAGGGUGCGUAGGUGGGUGCUUAAGUCUGGUUUGAAAGCAGGUGGCUCAACCAUCUGAUGUGGCUGGAAAC
rnacentral:rRNA from 1 species